GUGGGGAAUAUUGGACAAUGGGCGAAAGCCUGAUCCAGCCAUGCCGCGUGUGUGAAGAAGGUCUUCGGAUUGUAAAGCACUUUAAGUUGGGAGGAAGGGCAGUAAGUUAAUACCUUGCUGUUUUGACGUUACCGACAGAAUAAGCACCGGCUAACUUCGUGCCAGCAGCCGCGGUAAUACGAAGGGUGCAAGCGUUAAUCGGAAUUACUGGGCGUAAAGCGUGCGUAGGUGGUUUUGUAAGUUGGAGGUGAAAUCCCCGGGCUCAACCUGGGAACUGCCUCAAAAACUGCAUGACUAGAGUACGGUAGAGGGUAGUGGAAUUUCCUGUGUAGCGGUGAAAUGCGUAGAUAUAGGAAGGAACACCAGUGGCGAAGGCGACUACCUGGACUGAUACUGACACUGAGGUGCGAAAGCGUGGGGAGCAAACAGGAUUAGAUACCCGUGUAGUCC
rnacentral:rRNA from 1 species